CACUUCGGGCUGUGCUUCUAUUUGCUUCAGGUCUGCUUCGGCCAAAGCUUCGGGCCGCUUCCUUGGUCAAGAAAGAAAUACUUAUAUAAUUUUUUUUAAAAUUUUUCUUAAUUUUCUUAAUUUUUUGUUAUUUUUAUAUAUUUUAUAUAUAAAUAUCUAAUUUAUUUAUAUUAAAUCAAAAGAAAAAAAAAAUACAAAGUCUUUUUUCUAAUCGAAAGUACCGAAUCGCUUCAUUUUUCUUAACAAACGGAAAAAAAUUCCAAAACGAA
rnacentral:lncRNA from 1 species